rnacentral:rRNA from 1 species
UACGGGGGGAGCAAGCGUUGUUCGGAUUUACUGGGCGUAAAGGGCGCGUAGGCGGUGAGACCAAGUCGAGUGUGAAAUUCCAGGGCUUAACUCUGGCGGGUCGCUCGAUACUGGUCGGCUAGAGUGUAGAAGAGGAUGUCGGAAAUUCCCGGGUGUAGCGGUGAAAAUGCGUAGAUAUCGGGAGGGAACACCAGCGGCGAAGGCGGGCAUCUGGGGCUAACACUGACGCUGAGGCGCGAAAGCUAGGGGAGCAAAACAGG